rnacentral:rRNA from 1 species
UACGUAGGUGGCAAGCGUUGUCCGGAAUUACUGGGUGUAAAGCGCGUGUAGGCGGGAGGCCAAGUCUGCUGUGAAAUCGCCCGGCUCAACUGGGCGGGGUCGGUGGAAACUGGUCACCUGGAGGACGGUAGAGGCGAGUGGAAUUCCCGGUGUAGUGGUGAAAUGCGUAGAGAUCGGGAGGAACACCAGUGGCGAAGGCGGCUCGCUGGGCCGGCCCUGACGCUGAGACGCGAAGGCGUGGGGAGCAAACAGG